AACGAACGCUGGCGGCGCGCUUAACACAUGCAAGUCGAACGAGAAGGCGUAGCAAUACGCUUGUACAGUGGCGAACGGGUGAGUAAUACGUGGGCGACCUACCCUCGAGUGGGGAAUAACCCGCCGAAAGGCGGGCUAAUGCCGCGUACGCUUCCAUCUUUAUGGAGGUGGAAGGAAAGCCGUGCCGUGGGCACGGCGCUCAAGGAUGGGCUCACGUCCUAUCAGCUUGUUGGAGGGUAACGGCCUACCAAGGCUCCGACGGGUAGCUGGUCUGAGAGGACGAUCAGCCACACUGGCACUGCGACACGGGCCAGACUCCUACGGGAGCAGCAGUGAGGAAUAUUGCGCAAUGGGCGAAAGCCUGACGCAGCGACGCCGCGUGGGGGAUGAAGGUCUUCGGAUUGUAAACCCCUUUC
rnacentral:rRNA from 1 species